rnacentral:lncRNA from 1 species
GUCACCAACUGUCAAUUCAUCAACACUAAGUACCUACUCUGUGCUAGACACUGUGGAUAAAAAGACCAAGACUUUUUUUUUUUCAACUUUUAUUUUAAAUUCAGGGAAUACAUGUGCAGGUCUCUUAAUGGUUAUAUUGCAUGAUGCUGAGGUAUGGGGUACAAUUGAUCUUGUCACCCAGGUAGUGAGCAUAAUUCCCAAUAGGUAGUUUUUCCUUGCCUCUCACUCUUUUGCAGCCCCCAGUGUCUAUUGUUCCCAUCUUUGUGUCCAUGCGUACCCAAUGCUUAGCUCCCACUUUUAAGUGAGAACAUAUAUUUACUUUUGUUCCUGUAUUAAUUCGCUUAGGAUAAUGGCCUCCAGCUUUAUCCAUGUUGCUGCAAAGGGCAUACUUUUGGGUUUUCUUUAUGGCUGCAUAGUAUUCCAGGGUGUAUAUGUACCACAUUUUCUUUAUCCAGUCCACCGCUGAAGGGCACCUGACUUGAUUCCAUGUCUUUGCUAUUGUGUAUAGUGCUGCGAUGAACUUAUGAGUGAAUGCAUCAAAAAGACCAAGUUGAACUUAUGAGCGAAUGCAUCAAAAAGACCAAGACUUGAUCCCUUGCCCACAAAGAUACAAGGCUGAGGACAAAGCCAUGAAGGAAAAGCCUCACUGAAGAAGAGGAACCUAAGAGAAGCAGGUUCUGCUCUGAUGAACUCCCAUAAAGGCAUUCCCAUAAAGGUGUGGGCCUGAGUGAUAAUCUAGAUAUGGUACAGUUGACAUCAGGUAUAUGGCGGCAGCCAGAAAUUCAACUUUGUCCAUCAGCUCUCUGCACAACAGGAAAGAUGGUGACCUUCCAGGCUUAUCUGAGGUCCAAGAGUAACAUCACAAACACAGUAACUACACCCAGCCAAAGAAAAGCAUACCUGAAUCCAAGAGAGUAUUUACACUGGCUUCAGGGAUGAGGAAAUAAAGGAGUAAGUGAUUAGGAUCAUUGUUUUCCUUUCUCUUUGGUACAAAAUAAAUGAGCUUCCUUUCUUUCAUUAAAAAUAAAUGUUUAGGCCGGGCGCGG